UACGUAGGGUGCGAGCGUUAAUCGGAAUUACUGGGCGUAAAGCGUGCGCAGGCGGUUCGUUAAGUCAGAUGUGAAAGCCCCGGGCUCAACCUGGGAACGGCAUUUGAAACUGGCGGGCUGGAGUGUGGCAGAGGGGGGUGGAAUUCCACGUGUAGCAGUGAAAUGCGUAGAGAUGUGGAGGAACACCGAUGGCGAAGGCAGCCCCCUGGGCCAACACUGACGCUCAGGCACGAAAGCGUGGGGAGCAAACGGG
rnacentral:rRNA from 1 species